rnacentral:rRNA from 1 species
CGGGGUGCAGCAGGCGCGAAAACUUUGCAAUAAGCGAAAGCUUGACAGGGCUAUCCCGAGUGCCAUCCGCUGAGGAAGGCUUUUACCCAGUCUAGAACGCUGGGGGAAUAAGGAGAGGGCAAGUCUGGUGUCAGCCGCCGCGGUAAUACCAGCUCUCCGAGUGGUGUGGAUGUUUAUUGGGCCUAAAGCAUCCGUAGCUGGCUAAGUUAGUCCCUUGUUAAAUCCACCGAAUUAAUCGUUGGAUUGCGGGGGAUACUGCUUGGCUAGGGGACGAGAGAGGCAGACGGUAUUUUCGGGGUAGGGGUGAAAUCCUAUAAUCCCGGGAAGACCACCAGUGGCGAAGGCUGUCUGCUAGAACGCGCCCGACGGUGAGGGAUGAAAGCUGGGGGAGCGAACCGGAUUAGAUACCCGGGUAGUCCCAGCUGUAAACGAUGCAGGCUAGGUGUUUGGACGGCCACGUGCCGUUCUAGUGCCGCAGGGAAGCUGUUAAGCCUGCCGCCUGGGGAGUACGAUCGCAAGAUUGAAACUUAAAGGAAUUGGCGGGGGAGCACA